UUCAUACUAAAAAAAAAAAAAAAAAAAAGGGAGUGAUACAGUGACUAUUAGCGUGGCCCCUGUGCAAGGAUGACAUGCAAAUUUGUGAAGCAUUCCAUUUUUUA